AUGUCAAUCAGAGACAUUUUCUCCGAUAAGAUUGGAACGAUACAGAGAAGAUUUGUGUUGGCCUCUGCACAAGGAUGACACACACAAACCGAGAAUUGGUACAAAUAUGA
rnacentral:snRNA from 1 species